rnacentral:misc_RNA from 1 species
GGACACCCCCGGACACUCGCCAGCUGUCGUCAACCCCUUCCCUGCUGUCAAAACUCAACAUUCAACACUCCAGCUACCGGAAACUUCCGAGUUGGGUCCUCUUUGUGCCCAAGCUUGAAGACAAGCUUACAGCUCCAUACUGUGAACUGCGAAACAUCUGAUCACUUCUUGUUUGCACCAGAUUUAUGUCACAUCACUCACACAUCA